rnacentral:tRNA from 1 species
AAUAAGAAGCGAUAAAUCGCAGUCAAUUUCGACCUGACCUUAGAUGAAAGAUCAUCCUAAUUU